ACCACAGUCCAGGGAAGAUAGCCUCCAGGAGGGAGGUGAGUGAUGUAGCCAUCACCACAGAAGAGAUAUGCUGAUGAGGCUGCAUCUGUUCCAGGAUGGGGUCCUGAGCCCAGAGGCAACAAAUGAGCUGGGACUUGAAUGACACGAAGAGUGUGGUCCUGGGGUCUCAGCAUUCUUGACUGAGGAAGCAGGAAGUGCAAAGAUCCUGAGGUGAGAAUGAGCCCUCAAGAAGGAAGCCCAGUGCUUCUGGAACAUGGAUGGAGGAAGAGAACCAUGAGUCAAGGAAUGGGCACAGCUUAUAGAAGUUGGAAAAAAGCAAGAAAAUGGAUUCUCUCUAGAGCCUCCAGGAGGAUCAUGGCUCUGCUGACACCUGUUUAGCCCAGUGAGACCCUUUUCAGAUUUUUGACCUCCAGUAUAGUAAGACAAUAAAUUAGUGUCAUUUGACAUCA